rnacentral:rRNA from 1 species
CAAAGGUUUGGUCCUAGCCUUCCUAUUGAUUAUUAACAGAAUUACACAUGCAAGUCUCUACACCCCAGUGAGAAUGCCCUCUAAAUCUAUAUGUUGAUUAAAAGGAGCGGGUAUCAAGCACACUAAAUUAGUAGCUCAUAACGCCUUGCUCAACCACACCCCCACGGGAUACAGCAGUGAUAAAAAUUAAGCCAUAAACGAAAGUUUGACUAAGCCAUGUUAACAAAGAGCUGGUAAAUUUCGUGCCAGCCACCGCGGUCAUACGAUUAGCCCGAAUCAAUAGGCAAACGGCGUAAAACGUGUUAAGGAUUAUAUUAUACUAAAGUUAAAAUUUGACAAGGCUGUAAAAAGCUACUGUUAAUAUAAGAUAAACCACGAAAGUGACUUUAUUACUUCCAUCAACACGAUAGCUGAGACCCAAACUGGGACUAGAUACCCCACUAUGCUCAGCCCUAAACAUAAAUAAUUAUCACAACAAAAUUAU